rnacentral:tRNA from 1 species
GGCUGUGGCUCAGUGGUAGAGAGCUUGCCUAGCAUGUGUGAGGCACUGGGUUCGUUCCCCAGCACCA